GUGAGCGCUGUACUCCUGUUUUACAGACAUACAGCUCAGAAGAUGGACGUUUGGCAAGCCAUAAUAGACUGCUCCUUUCCCAGGUGAAGAGACCAAGCUCUCCCAUCCAGAGCUGAGGCAGGGAUGGCUCUGGGAUCAGAAACUGGGCUAUGCAAUCACAGGGCCUAAGCCAGACCCCCUGUUCUACGGCCUCUGGCGGCACUGAAGGCCCAACCUCCCCACGGCAUCUUUCUGGAAGGGGCUGCCCCUCGCUUUACACCCCUCGUGUAGGAAGAGUCAGAGCUUGGAGACUGUGGAACCACUCUGCAACUGUUAUUCAUACACGGAGAAAUGUCCACACUGUGGAAAUCAGUAACCUUCUUCUCAUGCUUCACCCCAAACUUCCCACCAGCAGAAUCUUCCUCACUGCUUCCUA